GGGGGGGGGGGGGGGGGUGCGGGGGGGGGGGGGGGCGGGCGGGGAGGGGUGGAGGGUGGGCGGGUGACGGUAGCGGGGGAGGGGUGAGUAGGAGGUGGGUAGGGUAGCUGUCAGACGGGGAUCACUUCGGGAAACGGGAGCUAGUGCCGGAUAAUAUAUUGGCCCGGAUGGUUCAAUGGUGAACUGCGGUUUUGCUGGCACUUAUGGAUUGGUCCGCGCCGCAUUCGCUAGUUGGUAAGGUAACGGCUUACCAAGUCACCGAUGCGUAGCCGAACUGAGAGGGUGAGCGGCCACACUGGAACUGAGACACGGUCCAGACGCCGACGGGAGGCAGCAGUAGGGAAUCUUCCGCAAUGGUCGAAAGCCUGACGGAGCAACGCCGCGUGAGUGAUGAAGGUCUUCGGAUCGUAAAACUCUGUUAUUAGGGAAGAACAAAUGUGUAAGUAACUAUGCACGUCUUGACGGUACCUAAUCAGAAAGCCACGGCUAACUACGUG
rnacentral:rRNA from 1 species